UUCUUUAAAUCUUUUAUCCCAUGUCUGCUACCUCUGGCUGUAUGGAUUACAUAUCAGCGGUUAAGAAAAUUCCACAAAAAGUCCCGGCUUGUUCUCACCCUGCAGAGCUUAUGGUCACCAUUGCGAUGAAAGGAAUUUGAAAGGCACAGCCAGGCCGGCCGAUCCUGAACCGGCUCAGCACAUUCCCUCUCCGCGGCUUACCGUGCCAUGGAUGUUCUUUUGAGCAGCCAUCAAUCAUGUUUGAAAGUUUCCCAUGAUUCCUGAGAUAUGAACCUCUUUGAUACAAGUUAACAAUACGGCACGCUCAGCGUGGGCUGAGGAAAAUUCUUUUGAAUGUGAGUUAAAGAACCACUUUGUUCCAGCUCGGAUUUGUACUCGUUCUGGGGCGGGGGUGGGGGAAUUGUUCUGUUUCUCUUGGGCGGCUUCAGGGGCCCCCUGUCCAAGAAAUACCCAGGGAUGCUUAAGUGGCUGCUGAGGCAGAGAAGAAAAAGGUCUGGAGGAUGGUUGAGAGGAACAAAGAGCAACAGAGGAAGAGAUGGAGUAGAGAGCUAGAAGAGGGUGAAAAAUGAAGAGAUGAGCACACGAAGCCUAAGAUGCCUAACUAAGAUAGUUCUGUGAAAAAGCCGAGCACCAAAGGCGCUGUCAGAGCAGCCAAGAGGCUGCUGAAGGGGCGGUGCGUCUCAAAUAGGAACCCCUGCACUCCGCCUUGCCAUUAACGCUCGGCGAAAAGAGCCAGUUUGGAAAAUGUUCUUGGGAACUCAAAGUUCACUCAUAACUCAUAUUGUACCUUGUGUGAUUCGUCUGUUGAAAUCGAGAGCUGACUGUUCCUGCAGAGAAGAUAGCAGAAAAAUGAAUGAUGGUCUUCUUCUAUGUCAUGGCGAUGGCUUUAUCUAGCUCAGAUGUUGCGCUAGUUCUUAGAAGAUCCGUUCUUUCUACCAGAAUCCUGAUUGCGUUUUAAAGAUGAAGAGCUAGGAGCGGUAGAGGCAGAGGUCCCAGGCCUGAUACAGAGGAGAAGGCUGAGCUGACGGAUGGCCAGCCUGCAGCGCGGCCUGCUUCCCGACUGUAUACAACGUGACCUGCUGCCUCCAGUGCUGCUCGACUUUCUUUCCCUGUCACCGUGGACCACACCCUUAAAGUGUGAGCAGCGAGAAGGCUUCUCUUCUUCAAGGUCAAGGCCGUGAGAAAAGUAACUGAGACUGAGCCCACGUUCUCCACUCUUCUUUCUGGCUUGGAAUGAUUGACAGCGACAGAUCACCAAGCAAGGAGAGAGAGACAUUACAGCCUCAAGUCUUUCCCUGAUUAUUAUGUAUUUUCUCCAUCCCGCUUUCUCUAACACAACUCUGAGAUCUUCAUCCUUCCUUCUCUUCAGCCAGACUGGCUGUUCACAUUGCUCUUAACAUGGUUCCUCCCCGCUCUCUGAUUUCCCUCACACUCUUUCCAGGGUCUGAAGUGCCCUUGUUGGCUGCUGCACCCAGCUCAACCGGCCUAUCUCUCAAGGACAGGCUUGAGUUCCAGCUCCUCCACAAAUUAUUCCCUGUAGCUCCAUUCUUCUUGGUCUGGCCAAAUGGAAUGUUGAAUCUCCCUCAUAUUUUGGUUCUGGUUACAUAACUCUAUUGCAUCUCGCUGUGCUAUUUUGCAUCCUGUAAUUACAUCAGCAUUCGACUUUUCUUCCCAGGAACAUUGCAAACCCUUUGACCAGAGGGCCUGUGCUAUAUAUUUCUUUUAUUUUCCACACAGGGCAUAGCACAAUUCUGGGUGGGCACUCAAUAAAUAUUUACUGAAUUAAAUUGAAUGUGGCACAGACUACAUCUAAAGCUUUGAAAAAUUCCUUUUCAUAAAUUAUAUGGGUCUUGACAAGAGGAUUAUUGGAGGGAGCCACUUGAAUAUAUUCAUUCUGGGCGAGCACGCAUGAGAUUUGCAGGGUCAUAAUGCAGGUUCUUGGACAAAGAAAUGGCUAAGCUGGGAUUUGGAGACAGGCUGGGAGGAGGAAGGUGGUUGGAUGAGGGAGGACUGAGUUGUGGCUGCAGCCACAGCAGGGACUGAGAUUCAUAAACUAGGGAUGUACUGCCUCAGAAGAGAGUCUGUAGAGAACUUUUGCUUUGUAAAGUUAUAAACAAGUUAAAUAAUUUGACAAUUGGGUUCUCAUGAGUCAGGAGGUUUGCUGAAUAAAUUUCUGCUAGCUCAGCAAAAAUUGCUGUUUUUAAUAAUUUCUGCACAGGUAGAAUGCAGUGUUUUACGAGUUUUAUUCAUAAAAAAUGCCUAUUUCUUUAUACUGUUCUCCUUUCUCAGGUCUUUCUGUCUCUUUUCGGA